rnacentral:rRNA from 1 species
UGGGGAAUUUUGGACAAUGGGCGCAAGCCUGAUCCAGCCAUGCCGCGUGGAUGAUGAAGGCCUUAGGGUUGUAAAAUCCUUUCGCCGAGGACGAUAAUGACGGUACUCGGAGAAGAAGCUCCGGCUAACUUCGUGCCAGCAGCCGCGGUAAUACGAAGGGGGCUAGCGUUGUUCGGAUUUACUGGGCGUAAAGCGCAUGUAGGCGGGCCGUUAAGUUAGGGGUGAAAUCCCGAGGCUCAACCUCGGAACUGCCUCUAAAACUGGCGGCCUGGACCUAAGUAGAGGCAAGUGGAAUUGCGAGUGUAGAGGUGAAAUUCGUAGAUAUUCGCAGGAACACCAGUGGCGAAGGCGACUUGCUGGACUUAUGGUGACGCUGAGAUGCGAAAGCGUGGGGAGCAAACAGGAUUAGAUACCCAAGUAGUCCCUGAGCGGGCUGGCAAGGCGCAU